GGUACACCGAGGGUCUUGAGGCAGUACCCACAGACGAUAACCACGUUUCUGUAUCAGCAGACGCUUCUCCUCACACCACUAACAGCGGCCAUGUUUAUUGGUAGUCUCUGAAAAUAACUGGUACAUACUGUAAUACUGUACGGUUUGGGGAUUUUACCAAAGCUUCAAGACCUCAUCAGCAACAAAAGGAUCGGCCACUGGGGGACCAACAUAUCUAUAACAGGGAAGCUCGCAGUUAUCUACACAAUGAAGAUUAACAGGGUUAGUCUAAGGCAUGCAGUUGUUACACAAUGACUGUACCGAAAAACAGAACGCUGAGUGUGUCACAUGUCAAUGCGUACAUAAUGAUGUACUGAACAUUCAUUAUAUUACAUAUAUACAUAUUUUACACAUAUAAUGUACAUACAAAAUGCAUAACAUACAUCAAAUUUGUAGCAAACAUAAAAUACAUAAACACCAUACAAACAUAACCUUGUAAUUACUUGUCGUUACAUUGUAGGUGGCACUGGUUCCGAGUCAACAUGCGUAUACAAAAUCUUUCUAAAUUUAAUAUAAUGCUGCAAUGCAGGGUUGAAGACAAGAACGACAAAGAAAGCAGCAGGAAGUAUUUUAACAAAAAAAUCACUACUACAAUCUUUUAGGUUACAUUUAAAAGACAGAGGAGCAUGAUAUAUAUAUAUCAAAGAACAGACUUUUACGAAGUCAGGGAGACGACUCCAGCUAAAACCAAGGAGGGAAAAAGACUUCAAUGACAGUCAGAACUUUAAAAGAAAGUACCGAGAAAUGACACCCUUGAAGACUUCUUAAAAGUUGCUGACGAAUAUGAUGUUCAGCAGGUGUUUGACAACUUUACAGAGCUCAUUAACGGCAUUCUGGAGGAUGAGCUGUCCACUGGCCGCACUCUACUUUAUCUCGGCGUGGUGGAACGCUACGAAAUGCAGGGAUCAUUCAUAAGCAAGUUGAUAGAUCGCGCAAGUAAAAUACCUGCGCAAGACAUGAGAAGAAGCUCUCGACUGGUGCCUAUUACGGCAACGGCAGCGAGAGAUGCCCUAGUCCAACAAAUUUUGAAUAUGGUCGAUCAAUUCCACUCAAUAUUCAACGACAGGCAAAAAGGAAAAGAUAUGAGUGGUAAAAUGAAAAUGAUAAUUUUCUUCUUUAUUCCUAUAUUGAUCACAGUACUUCAACAGUCAUUAGCAAAAAUAAACA